rnacentral:tRNA from 1 species
GGAGGGGUACCGAAGUGGUCAUAACGGGCUGGUCUCGAAAACCAAGCGUGACGCAAGUUGCACGUGGGUUCGAAUCCCACCCCCUCCGCCA